GAUGAACGCUGACAGAAUGCUUAACACAUGCAAGUCGAUUCGAUUUACCUUCGGGUAUUGAGGAUGGCGGACGGGUGAGUAACGCGUAAGGAACUUGCCUCUUGGUCUGGGACAACUGUUGGAAACGACAGCUAAUACCGGAUAUUAUGAGAUUCUCGCAUGGGAAACUUAUGAAAGCUAUAUGCGCCAAGAGAGAGCCUUGCGUUCCAUUAGCUAGUUGGUGGGGUAACGGCCCACCAAGGCGACGAUGGAUAGCCGGCCUGAGAGGGUGAACGGCCACAAGGGGACUGAGACACGGCCCUUACUCCUACGGGAGGCAGCAGUGGGGAAUAUUGGACAAUGGACCAAAAGUCUGAUCCAGCAAUUCUGUGUGCACGAUGAAGGUCUUCGGAUUGUAAAGUGCUUUCAGUUGGGAAGAAGCAAGUGACGGUACCAACAGAAGAAGCGACGGCUAAAUACGUGCCAGCAGCCGCGGUAAUACGUAUGUCGCAAGCGUUAUCCGGAUUUAUUGGGCGUAAAGCGCGUCUAGGCGGAAAAAUAAGUCUGAUGUUAAAAUGCGGGGCUCAACUCCGUAUUGCGUUGGAAACUGUUUUUCUAGAGUACUGGAGAGGUGGGCGGAACUACAAGUGUAGAGGUGAAAUUCGUAGAUAUUUGUAGGAAUGCCGAUGGAGAAGUCAGCUCACUGGACAGAUACUGACGCUNAAGCGCGAAAGCNUGGGGAGCAAACAGGAUUAGAUACCCUGGUAGUCCACGCCGUAAACGAUGAUCACUAGGU
rnacentral:rRNA from 1 species